GAUCCUGGCUCAGAAUCAACGCUGGCGGCGCGCUUAACACAUGCAAGUCGCACGAGAAAGUGGAGCAAUCCAUGAGUAAAGUGGCGUACGGGUGAGUAACACGUGGAUAAUCUACCUCUUAGUGGGGAAUAACCAUGGGAAACCGUGGCUAAUACCGCAUAAGCUCUAGCGAGGAAAGCAGCAAUGCGCUGAGAGAGGAGUCCGCGGCCGAUUAGCUAGUUGGCAGGGUAAAAGCCUACCAAGGCAGAGAUCGGUAGCCGGCCUGAGAGGGCACACGGCCACACUGGCACUGAAACACGGGCCAGACUCCUACGGGAGGCAGCAGUGGGGAAUCUUGCACAAUGGGGGCAACCCUGAUGCAGCGACGCCGCGUGAGCGAUGAAGCCCUUCGGGGUGUAAAGCUCUUUCGGCAGGGAAGAUAAUGACGGUACCUGCAGAAGCAGCUGCGGCUAACUACGUGCCAGCAGCCGCGGUAAUACGUAGGCAGCGAGCGUUGUUCGGAGUUACUGGGCGUAAAGGGUGUGUAGGCGGUUGUUUAAGUUUGGUGUGAAAUCUCCCGGCUCAACUGGGAGGGUGCGCCGAAUACUGAAUGACUUCGAGUGCGGGAGAGGAAAGUGGAAUUCCUGGUGUAGCGGUGAAAUGCGUAGAUAUCAGGAGGAACACCGGUGGUGUAGACGGCUUUCUAGACCG
rnacentral:rRNA from 1 species